UUGACAACAUAUGGACAUUCAUAGCUUGGAGUUCACUUGCCCCUGGAAUCGGGCACGAAAGACAAGACUUUCUUGAGCACAAGGUCACCUUCUCGGAACACACGAGGCUUGACCUUCUUGUUGAAUGCUUUUUCACUCUCUGCUGAUAUGACUGACCAUGACACAUGGCAGUUGAUCUCUUCCUUUCGAUCGGAUUCACUUGGUCGUAGUGACUCUGAAUCCAUUCAGCAUCAGUCAACUUGGGACUUUGAGGGUGCUAUUUCUCUUUUG
rnacentral:lncRNA from 1 species